rnacentral:lncRNA from 1 species
AAGGAGCUGGGCCACUGACUCCUGUUGAAAAAUCAAUGGACCUGGAAAUGCAAACUGAAAGAAAAAUUCUGGUCUCUGAGCUGCAUAAAAGAUCCUUGUUCUGGUUUUCCACAUUCACUAGAGCUCUGCACGUGGUGGGAAGAAUAGAAGAGCAGAACAGAGGUAAGCCCUUUGCUGGCAUAAACAGACUUGACUGCUAGUUUCUUCAAUGGUAAGCUGACUGCAUUCGGUUUGAGUGUCCCCAGGGCUGUGCCAUCAUCAUUCUGUCCCGCUGAAAAUUAUAUCAAGUAAAUGAAAGACAACGUAACCAUUUCCAUUUCAGUGACUGUACUGUAUUAUAUGUAUAUGUGUUGUUGUUUCACCUCUUAGCACUGAGUUGUGUUAGAACGUUGAUUUGUUCUCUGGAAUUUUAAUUUUGGCAGUGAUCAAAUGCUUUGCUUGAAGGACCCUGUGCAACUCCUCAGUGUACUAUCUGUCCACUUUUCUUUCACCUCUGAAACAAGAAUAGGGCAGUACCUUGGUCUAGAAAGAGCAGUUCCUUUUAUAGUAAGCAGGAAACAUGCUGCAGAUGUUUCAGAAAUCUGACUUUUAAAAUACAUUUGUUUUCUAGUAUGUCAGGCUACUCUGACUCAUUCUGCCUUUAAUAGUAUAGAUUUGUAUAUCUUAUACAUUGCUAUGAGAAAUCUCCAGGAGUUGAAGUGAACCUGGAUGCCUGACUCAGGAACUUUUCAUUUUUCCUGGUAUAGAUGUUUAUUUAAAAGUAAAACUCCCUCGUAAGUUUGCAAUAUAUUUUAUUUUUUCCAUUUUAGCUUUGUUUCAGAGAAGCUGCAUAAAUUACACAACCUGUUUCUCCAGUUGCAUAACCAGAAUAUGUAGGCCUUUCCCUAAGAGAACGGAAAAGAUCGAUAUAGCUUUUUUUUUGUGGUUUUCUGUUGUUGUUGUUGGGUUUUCUUUUCUUUUUUUGUGGUCUUCUUAAUACCUUUUCUCUUUUUUUUUUUCCUUUUUUUUUUUCUUUUUUUUUUCUUUUUUUUUUUUUCUCUCCCCCAGUUAUGGUGUUCUUGCUGUGAAUAUUUGUGAUAACUGAGCAGACAUCUCUAAACUGAAUGUAAUCAGCAUAGGCAUGCUUGUCCUGAAGAGGUGAAAAAAGCAAGCAGUGAAUCUGAAUGUAGAGUAUGAUGAGUAACAGAAUGAUGCUCCUGCUCUUGCUGUGGAAUAUUAAGAAUGGUGUAUCUGCUAGGAUGCUUGUGGAAAGUUUCUUACCUCCCAGGAACUCCAUAUUAUUUUUGAGUGCCCUCAUGUUGAACUCAGUAUAGUUUCUGAUGAGACCCUAUGAAGAAUGAUGUCCAUAUACGUGCACAGACACCACAGUCAUCAGUUUACCACAUGCACACAGCACUGGGAAUAGAACUUAAGACCUUCGCCUCCGCAAACACAGCUGCUCAUCUGGCUGUGGGCUUUGUAGCCAGCAGAGGGAACUGACAAACACUCUCAUAGGGCUCCUCUAUAUAUUAUUUCUAACCAAAAGAGGGCACUGAUUCUCACUCACUCCAUUAUGUGUCACCCCUCUGCAGUUCCACCUGCCAUCCAAGAAGCAAGAGACUUACAUUUGUCUUGCCUUUGCUACGAAAUGUGGGCUUGCACGAAGAUUUAAUAAUCAAAAGAUGUCCCUAGACUGCACAGUGGUAUUAAUCUCCUGCAGUGCAAUUAUGAGACAUUAAGUUCAUUACAAAUCAAGACAAUUACAGAAACACAUCCAACAUUUCAGGAGUAUGGGGAGACCAAGCACAAUUGCUUACUGAUGUGUACAAAGAAUAGGCACAGUUAUUGCACAAGACCCACAGAAGGCUUCAGAACCAGGACUCAUCAUUAUCUUUUUAAACUCAUAACUUUUGCCAAAGCAAAAUACUUCUAGCAUAAAGAAUAGAUCUCACUUUCUUCUUGAGGGAAAGCCAUAAAAAGGAAAUACACAUUUGCUGGGAUUUCGUGUCAAUGAAGAGGUAAAAGUAAGAAACUUCUGCACAGUUAAAUACAGAUAUUUGUUGGUUUUAAUCAAAGACAGAACAAGCCAUCACUAUGCUUUUGUCUUUUCUUGUUCCUCACUACAGUAACUCCACUGAAAACCAUUGCUCUUUUAGAAAUAAGACACCAGUGAAAAAAAAAAAACAACCAAUUAUCUCUCUGGAGAAAGAAGGAAUCCAUGUGCUAGGGUAAUUGAAAGGCCAAAAGAGUAAGGGCAAAUACGGGGAUAUAUUUAAAGCUCAGCAAUAAAAUGUAAUCCUUCCUCCCCUGAGAUAUAUAACAGGACAUAGAGCGAACAGGCUGAAAAUGCUGUGCUGCAGGUUUUCUCACUUACUUACAACAACUGUCCUACUUCUACUGCAGGUAGUGCUAUGUCAAUUAAUCUUUUUUUUUCUCUUCCUACUAAAUUUCCAGUUGCCUCUCACAAUUCACUAUUUUAUCUGUGAACAGUGCAAGCUUUGUGGUAACUUUCAAUGUAGAAUGCUUUGCUCCAAAGGCAAGUAGGGCAUUUACUUCUGAAAUCAAGCAUAAGCAUGUGUUAAUUUCAUUUAUUUAUUUAUUGAUAAUGCAACAUUCACAAGACCAAUCUUGUGUUACCAGGACUGCACUGUUAUAGUUAGGUGUUGCUGCCUUUUCUGGUCCAUGGCAGUGGAUCUGUGCUUGCUCAAUCUGAGCAAGAGCGGGCUAGUCUCAGCUAACCACAGAGGGUAAGGAAGGGGAGGUCAUUUGAUUAUUUAUUUAUUUCUGUAUCUAUUUCCCCUCCAAGAAUGACUUUCAAAUCCUGGUAAGGGGGUUGCAAAUGAUUUCAAAGGAAGAUCCAAAGUGUUAAGAUUGAAUUACCUCUGUUAAGAAGUGACACUGAAAUCCUCUCUGCUGUUCAGCCCUAAGGAGGCAUGCGAAGAUGGAUCAGCUGCAAAGGGGUGUACUUCAUAAGGCUGAAUACAAAAUGAAGCUUGGGAUUAAAGUACUGGACUGCAACCCUUAAGAGCUAAAUUUGACUCUCUGCUCUGCAAUGAAUUUCCUCUGUGACCAUGAGCCAAACAGCCCAUGUAUUUAUGUAGAUAACCCUGAAAGUGAUGCCUAAUUAUUUCCAUGGAAACUACAGCAGUUACAAAGAGCACAAUCACACUAUUUCAUGGAGCAAAGUCUCAAGUACAAAAUGCUAUUUUUCAACAUAGUUACCAGCAUUAGUUGUGCAUUUUUGUUAGUGAUGAACAGGAGCUUGCACCCACGCUCAUAACUAUCUGCACCAGUGCAGGUGUUGAUCUACUCUCACUGUUGCCACUGCUGAACAGGUCAUGCUGAACACCAUGACCUCACAUCCACCGUUUGGACUCCAUAAAUGUUCAGCAAGCAUCGACGAAUGUCAAUGGGUGCCAUUUGUUUUUUUUCCCCACAUGGAAGGAUUUAAUGAUACACUUUCGCUUCAUCCACACUCCCAUGCCACAUGCCGUUCUGUCAGACUGCCCCUGUGCCGCCAUCUGUCACACAGCAACAACAUGUAAGCAAACGCUGGUGGGAAGGUUCAAUUUCUACUGCCAUCCCACCAACAUCCGCCUCUGAUGUCAUGGACAGCAUAAAAUAAGGGGCAAUGCUUUUGGGGCAGCCCUGAGAGUAUCAGGAUGGCCAGAGGAAACAUAUCUCUGCCUCACAAAGAGGCGGUGAAAAUAAAUUAGUGUAGAUCAGAAUGUCUCAGAGCCAGUGGGAAUGGCAGGCCGCUGACUAGGUAGUUCAGCCUAUACAGGUAUAACUUUUACAGGUAUCUAGUCUAGUAUUUUUAACGGCAGUAGGAAUUAUGCUAGUAAUUUCACUGGGCAUUUGUGCCCUAAAUGAACACCAAAAACAAAACAACAACCCUUAAAUGCCCUCACCAACAGAAGUGGCUGAGAAUGCCUUCUUAACACUUGGCUGGUCUGUAGUAGAAAAAAUAAUGUAAUCUCUUCACUUUUUUUUUUUUUUUAUAUUGUGGUCAUUACUCAAAAAAAUCUGAAUUCCUUUUUUUUCCCCCCACUGACUCGCUUUUUAUUUAUUUUUUAUUGUGGUUAUAGGAUUAUUUUGAAGUGAUAAUGUUUUUAUCUUACUAUCAGCACGUUUUGAUUUUAAAAAGGAGGUUCAGAUGAGCACAUAAGUAAAGGCAUUUCUAGACACCUAAGUACUCUGGGAGAUGAGCUGGUUACAGUUUCCCUUCAUUCCUUGCUGCCAAGUGAUGCUCAGCUGAAUGAUCUAUUCAGCCUAAGAGAGAAAUUGCUCAGAGGAGAUUCUGAUCUAAAUUAGAUACAUUCCUUUCAGUGGAGUUUUCCUAAUAUGCCCUGCAAUCCAUUUUUGAAAUGCCAAAACAUCACAUUUCACAGCAGGCUUUAAUAAAAGGUAUUUUGCUAUAUACACAUUUCUUGUGGCAAAUGCAUUUUUAAAUAAUUUUUUUUUUAAAUUGAAAAAAUGCUCUAAUAGAAGUUGAUUUCUCUGUUAAAGUUCUGUAUGAAAGCUGAGGCUUUACUGCCAGAUUUUAGAAGUAAAUUCUAUAUGUGAUUCUAAGUGCAAAGCAUAUCUGUGCUUCACAAGAGGGGCAUUUUAGUAGAUGGAAGGGAGUUUACUGUAAAAAAUCCAGUGUUAACUAAGGAGUACAAUUUUGUAGCUUAGAGACAGAAUACCUGUUAUAGGAAUAGAAUCUAAUGAUUUUGCUCAUGUUUUCUAUAGGCAACUUGCAUGGAUUACCUGGAUGCAAAUGUAGUUCUACUGUAAUCCUACUGUAGAAAGCACUGUACUUUGUUUUGAAUAGCUUCUUCUUCUUUUUUUUUUUUAAAGAAGAGUUACUUAUGUAAUCUUCCAGGCAAGUAGCUGAAGGCAAUGUUUUCUUUUCUCCAUUAGAUACAACAAAUAACAUGUAAAAUAAAGAGAAGAAUCUCUUACAGUAUGCAGGAAAGGCCUUUUGAGAAGAGUUCUGCUGAUGUUACACAGAGCUGUAGCUUAAAAAGUUCCAGCUACUGUGAGUACAGCUAUGUGUGGAGAUAAUUCUUUCUUAGAAGAGACUUUUUUAUUUGGGGAAAAAACAACAAAGGGUCAAUUUAGGGAGAGAAUUGUUUGGCUUUCAGAAAGAAAGCCACUCUAACAGCAGAAUGAAUUACAUAGAAUAUAAACAAAGUAUUUACAGUCAGCAUUCACUGCUUGCAUUUAGUAGUUCAUGCUCUCUGAUCUCUGAGCACUGGAGAAGCAUUCUACAAUGAGGAUUUAUUUCUGUGGUGGAAUUUCUUUAAGCAGGUGAUUGUGUAUUAAAAGUGCACUGACACACAACAUGAGAGUGUUAGUCACUAAUAGAUUCACCUCUGUGAGGAUGACAGAUGAACAGAGGGGAGUGCAAACACAGUUUUGAAAGCACUUUAUGUCUUACUGUUUCAACUAUUCAGCAGCUGUCUGCACGAGACAGUUAACUACCCCUUCCUGUGGCAUUAGAAAUACCUAUGGAGGAAACCUUGAUAAAGUACAAUUCAAGCUGAUUUACAGAUUCCAUACAGUAGACAUAAGAGGUCUGUUGCAAGAAGCAGAACUUUGCUUGUGAAACAUGUACUUUAAGCAUAUUUGACACCGUAUAGCAAACUCCAUUAGCCUUGCUGCUGUGCUCCUGUGAGAGCAUACGUUCAGUUACACGUUUUUUACAUGGCAGUGAGACCUGUGAAGGUGCACUUCAUUCCCAAAACCGUCCCAGUCUGCCUCGUAAAUAAGACCAGUUAUAAUCAUUAAAAGAUCCUUCCUUGAGUCAGCACUUUGCGUUAUCACUAAGCUAUUCUUUUUUCUUCUAACUUAAGGCAGCUCUAAAGUGUACUUUUUUUUUUUUUUUAAUAACUUUGACUGGACUGAGACUACUGAGAGGGAUAAUAAAUUGUUAGAAGUGGUCUGGGCAUACUAAUCUCUUCAAAAAUCUAUCAGAAAGGGAGAGAAGACCAUUUCUCAGCCACACAGUGUUUCCCAGCAAGAUCUGUUUUUAUUUCAUUGCCACAACAACAGAUUGUUACUAACUUAACUGUCAGAUGACACUACAUCUUAAAAAAAAUAAAAAGCAAAGCACCCUGCCAGCACCACCCAGCAAGGCAGUGCUAGAGUUCACAUUAAGACUUCCUCACGAUAGCUGGUUAGAACAGAAACCUGAAGCAGCCGUAAUCUUACCUUGAGUGUACAAGAUCCAAGGAGAGAAGAUCACUGGUUCAAAACAGUGGAAGGCUGAGAAAGUGCUCUGAUCAGCUGCUGGUAGCAUGCACUUGGCUUUUAUGUGCAGGUGGGAGGAGCUGCUCCCUACGGUAGGUGGGCAGUAAGGACAGCAAGCAGACAGCCUUCAGAAGGCACUGCACAGUAGGAUUUUGCUCUUUGGGGACAGAAGGAGGGGGGAAAAGCAAGCUGAAUGGCAUUCACAGGAGAAAUAGUGUUGGAUCUGUUGGUUUGUUUUUAAAUGAUUUAGUUAACUAAGGAUUUUAUACUGUAUUUGUUUCUGUGAAUCUGGUGCAUUAUUCCGGUCGCAGUUAGAAUGCUACUAGGUCUCAGUUAGCCUUUUGGAAAGAUUUUUACCUCAGUAGUAACAGUAGAUAGUAACACAAAGUAGUUAUCAGAAAGGCUUGUGCUUCCCUUUCUAAAAAGGAAUAACUACGAAUAAACAGCUUGCUUUCUAUUCAGAACAUCUAUUCGAUCACAUCUCUGGAACCCUCCUCAGUUUCUCUUGUGCAGUGCUACCCAGCUUUUCUUUGAUGCAGCUGUAACUUGUUCCAUCUACACACUAACUUUCUAAUAGUUCAGUUUAGUGGUUUUAUUGUUCCGUGUGUCUGAGUUCUAAACAAUUUUCCCAACUGGAUUUCUCAAAAGGCAAAUGUAGCCAGAAAGACAAACCAGUAGGAAUACACAUUCCUGGUGGUUUCUUUAUAAAAUUAUUCAUUGUUCAUUUUAACUCAUUCACUGCUUUUAGGGCAUGGAAGAAUGGGUGGCGCAGCAUCCAGGCAUUGGCUCCUGGAGGUGAAACAGGCAGUUGUACCCAUCUGGAAUACCCUGAUUCUGUAUUUGCACAAAUUUCUGAAUGAGCCAUUUGGACCUUUACUGGUAUUAUUUACCAUAAUCCAUGAGUAAUGUCUGUGUCAUUUUGGAACAAGUGUGAGUGGAGAAAGCCAGAAAGAUAGAGCAGGGAGAGGAGGACUGUGGUGUGAAAUCAAGGGAGAGGCUAGAGGCACAUCCUGCUUUAAAAUCUGGGCAAGACCAGGAGGAAAACGAAUGGCAAUCCGAAUUUACAAAGUUAAGAUAAGCAAGACAGUAGUGAAUGAGAUGGAGAAUCAAGUGUAAUACAUACCACUUCUUGCACUAGAGGGCCAAAGUUGUCACAGGGUAAAGAAUUAUGAGAUGCUAAUAGAACCUUGGCACUUCUGUCCGUAUCCUGAAUUUGUUCUCAGUGGUGGACUCUUGUGCCCAAAUUCUGUGAUCUGAUUAUAUAUGUUAUUAUCAGUCUAACUAGGAAUCAAGUCCUAAGAUAUUUAUGCUGAGAAUGCAGAUUAAUUCUUAAUAUGGACUCAGGGUGAAAUUCACAUAAUUAGUUUUCUUCUCCUUUUCUCCUUGAUUAUAAUAAGCUUGAAAAAAGUAUUGAAUGGGUGAGAACAACUUGAGUUGCAUGCAAUUCUAUUUUAUUUCUUUUUUGUCAACCUAUAAAUCACUUGUAUAUCAGUUUUAGGUGGUAGAAAUAGCUGCAGAACCUUUGUUGAUGUAGUCUGAGACUGAGAACAGUUGAACUGAAGUGUUAACUGACUGGUUAAGUUGCUAAGGUUUCUAAAGCGUGAUGUUGCUGUUGGAUAGGACGACCUCUAUGUUCUUGCAACUAAUUACCAACAAAAGUCAUUUUGUUAUUCCUGCAGCACUCAGUGGAUUUUUACAGUUCUUAUGAAGAGAUGAGGUCUCUGAAGGGAUUACAGUAUGAUUUUAGGAAGGCUACAUUAAGUAAUGGUAACAGGAAUAGGGUUAUAAAGGGUGCAAGUUAUAGUAAUAAGGUUAUGCAAUAAUUAGUUCAGGCAUGGGUAGUUUGUGAUGGUUUGAUAGAUUAAAUAAUGCACAUAAACUGGAAUUAUACUCAUCUAACAUCUGGUUGGUUUUGUGCUUACAGAAAUCUAGGUCAAGAUUUUCAGAAAUUAGAGAGUAAAUAGAUACCUAUGUCCUUAUUUAAUGACUGUUACUGUCUCAAAAUAGCUGGCUUUUCUCUACAUCCCUUUUAGAAUCAGUGGAUACUUCUUUCAAGCUCGAUACCUUCAAAGGAUCAAGCUAUUUUUUUUUCUUUAAACAGAAACAUAAAGGUAGAGAAUUAUCUGUAGAAUUAUUUUAUUUGAGCUUUUGACCCUUAUCUUCAGGUGCUAAGUACCACUUUUCAAAAGUGGGUCAAUACUCAAGUGGACUCAUAUACCACAGGCUGUGCACGGAUGAUUACAUGUCCUACUGUAUGGCAGACUGAAGGGUAACCUUAUCUUUUAGUAAUUCCAGAAGAGAAGAAAUAAACAAGUUUUUCUUUAGUUCUUCCCUUCAGGCAACGUUAAAGCACUUUACAAAUAUUAAAUUAAAAUAGAUGAAAAGUAUCAGAUUGUGUUAAUCAUUGUUAAAGCACUACUGUGGUGUAAUUAUAUGGAAGAUUACCUGAUAAGACUAGAGCGUUAGGUAUAGUCAUGUAAUUACCUAGUCACUGCACUGUAUUGCUUAUCUUCUCUAAUGAGUUUUUUAGUAGAUGAAAGCUUUACCAAAAUCUCUGUGGGAAAUGAUUUAGUUUGUCACACAAGUAAGUAGAUUCCAGGGCAUACUGCCAGGCUAGACAGUAACUUCAGUGUGGACACAUCCCUGUGACCAAGAAAAAUGUCCAACCUUUCUAAAAUGGUUAGACCCUAUCUACUUCUUAAAAGCAAAGUUAUACUUCCAAGAGUACUUUCAAUGGUGUAGUCCUCUUGCUCCGUUCUUACCCUAGAAUGUCCAGAUUGGUUUACUAUUCGUUUCCAAGAAUUGUUUGGAGUAGCCCAUGCUUUUAGCACGUCCAAAAUCCAUAUCAUACACUCACAUUAUUUUAUAGCAGGUAUAUUACUUUUGUACAAAAUGAAACUGUUAGUAAGGGAAUCAGCUUCAGGAAAGUACCUUAAACUUGGAAAGAGUGUUCUACCAUACUUUUGGGAACUGUACAUGCUCAGCUAAGAAAUGUUGUGUGGUGGUUCAGAGAGCAAGAUGACCAUCUGGCAUAAUUCAACUAACCUUUUUGUUGUGACUCCACACAGAGCUCAGUGCAAAAUCUCCUGAAAUACACUUACACUCAUUUGGGAACUCUGAACUCUUCCAUGAAGGGUUAGAGUGCCCUGGCACUUUCUUAUCAUUUAGCAGACUUGGCAAUGAUCCUACAAAAGGAUUCCCUCAGGCAGCCUUUGCAGCUGUCUUAUGGCAUAAGUGUUACUAUAUAGAAUAUUGGUAUUGCCAACAGUAUCCCUGUAGCAUGUUACGAUUAUGAGACAGAUUACAGCUUGCUAGUAGGGACAGAACUAUAGCCAUAAUUGCUAUAUUUCUGCAAUCACAUUAAGUAUAUUUGCUAUUCAGUCAGAGUCUUCUAUUAAAUUAAAUUUGGUCAGGCACACAAACUGUAUGGUAAAGAAUAACUAUUAACAGAGGUGGUGAAAACUACAGCUAUAUAAAUGAGAGAUAUUUCACUCUAGAUCUUUUAAAAGUAGAUAUGCCAAAAUUCCUACAUUAAUUCCAAUAAAAGAACCAAGUGAUUAACUCCCAGUUUGAGUGUUGCUCAGCUGAAAUAAGUGUGGUUGAAUGUGUUGGCUGUGGGUGCAGAAAGAAUGAAUGUGAAUUGAUGGAGAGUUUGAUUGUGAAUAAACCAUGAUUUAUGUAGCAUUGCAGCAACACCUCAGGUAGGUGACUACUUGCUGUUUGGUGGUUGUAUCAAAGGAGGAGGGCCUCUACCCAGUUAAAUGGCAUGGUGAUGGCAGAAGAUGAGUUAUUGAGAUCAAAUUUUCAAUACUUUUGUUGAACACAAAACAGAUAGAAAUAGAGAGAUCUGAUGUAAAGCAGGAUAAUAUAGCAAUAGAACCCUAGUGAGGUACUCUUCCAACUUUCAUCUAUACAUUAGAAACACCAUAACUUUAAAAAAGAGAAAGAUAUUUCAGAGUUUAUUUGUGUCAUUAGGUAGUAGAAAAAUAUUCUGACCAGCUCAUAGGUAAACUUCUGUUGAUCUACACAACCCUCAUGGAAAUGUAUUCUUAUUUUUAUUUAAUUUGACUGUAGGACCUAAGGCACAAAUGAUUUCUCCUCUUGACCAGCAGUAUGCUUUAUUAACCCGUGGUUUCAGGAAACAUUCUGUCUUCUGUCAUGCUUCAUUGUAAGAUCUAUCCAAAGCCUUUCCAGCAUAUUUAACUUUUAGAGAACUACAUGUGAUUGAAUUAAAUGAGUUGCAGUUUUUUUAGAACAUUGUCUAUUCCACAGUAAAGAUUCACAAACCUAGAGGGAAGGAUAAGGGGAGAAAGUGAAAAAUUUUCAAUUCAAUUUAUAUUCUUCACAUUACGGAGAAUGUCUGAAUUCCACUUUCAAAUUUGUAUCUGUAGAUUAGGGUCACUUAGGUGGUCUGGCUACAAACUGCUGUAUGGCAUUCCAGUGUAGGAUGCAAAAUCAGGAUACAUUUUAAAAGUGCAGAUCUUGCAUUCUGGAUAAGCGCAUAGCAAGGCCUGAGUGCGAGUAUGGAAGUAACACCUGCCGACCUCAACCAAUGUUUUCACCUGUAUGACAAGAGUCCAUUCCUUCCCACAUAACAUGAUAGAGACAGAAUUGAAAAAACUGAGAAGAGUUGCUACAGAACACAGUCAGCUCUGAGGCUUCCAUUGGGAUACACUAUCUGAUUUUCAUGCUCACAGUAUCAAAAUAGAAGAAGAAUGCUUAUUAUCUGAGCAAUGUUUACUUAGGCUGUCUGUUUUUCAGAAGGCAUAUGAUAUAACCUAAGCUAGAUUGAACGUAUAAAGGUUGAAAACUCACUGGCUGGGGUGCGUUUAUGCUGAAAAUAUGGGAGAGUCUCAAUACACAGCAAACUGAAUGUGAGGCAGCAGUGGGCCCUGGCAGCAAAGAAGGCCAACGCUACCUUGAGCUACAGGAGUAGGAGCAUGGCCAGUUGCUUACGGAAAGUACUCUUGUACUUUCCAUACUCUUGUACUCAGUGCUUACUAGGCUACAUUUAGAAUACUAUGUUCGAUUUUGAGCCUCCCAAUGUAAGAAAGAUAUCAGUGAACUGGAGUGAGUCCAGAGGAGGGCUACUGUGCGGCCAGAGCACUUGAUCAGUGAGAAGAAACUGCAGAAGCAGGGCUUAUUCAGCUUGGCCAACAAUUGGCUUGGAGAGGACUUAACAAGCAGCAGCCCCCAGGUACCCAUGGGAAGGUUAUUGAGAAGGUAGAGUAGAGCUCUUUGCAGUGAUGUGUGGUAAAAAGACAGUAGACAGAGCAGGUUGCUCGGUGAGGCUGUGCAGCCUACAUCCUUGGAGGUUUUCAAGAAUCAACUGAACAAAGCUCUGAGCAGCCUGUUCUGACCUCAUGGCUGACCCUGCCUCAGGGAGGGCACUGGACUAGAGACCUCCUGAGAUCCUUUCCAAACGAAAUGAAUCUGUGAUCCUAUGCUAUAGGACAAUAAUACUGAGACAUCUUACCUGAUACUGUGGAAAUGUUCAGAUUAGUUGAUUUUCAGUUCACCUGCAUUUAAGAGACUGAGACACUGGCCCAGAGUAUGAUCAAAGUUGAUAAAGUGUCCAUGUAUUUAAACAUAGAGUGUGUACAUUUCUGAAAAAGAAUACAUUGCAAAUGAAGGUAUUAACUUUCAAUGUAUGAUUGGGGAUUAAAUAAGACUUGUCUUCAGUUCCACCAGAAUGUGCUUGGUGGCAGUAUUAUGCAUUCUGUGCGUAGAUUUUGAGUAUUUUUCUUUUAAAUACGUUUCCUGAACGUUUAUUUAAUGAAGCCAAGUGGCAUACACUUUGGCUGUAAUAUAUAUUCUUUUAAAUCUCUUUGCCAGAAGUUUAUACAGUGUUUUAUUUUUAUUUUAGGAAGCUAAUUUGUGCUCUGUUUCAAAUGAAAUAUAGCAUCCUUGGGAAAACAUGUUUCUGAUCAAAGGAAAUAUUUGCUCCACUGACAGCGAGAUUAACAAUGGAGUGAGCCGGAAUUUGAAUUAAAUGUUGGUGUUUUCUACUCCAGCUCUACUACACAGGACUUGAGCCUUAUUUCAUCGCUAUUGCUUCCUUUGUCCCUAUACAAUUCAUUAGUUUUGAAAUGACAAACAUUUUUUGCUACCUUGAUUACAUCAUUAGUAAAUUAUUUCUCUCCUCUGCACAAAAAAAACCCCUCCCUACUGAGACAGGAUUAAACUAUCCUCGUAAAGCUGCCUGGUAUUAUUACCAUUACACCAUAGGAAUCUGAUUCCAAACAUCUUAACAGGUUUUUUUUUGUUUGUUUGUUUGUUUCCUGAAAAAGGUCAUUUUCAAAAUUAAUUUUGAAGACUGAUGGAGAAUUUUUUGAAACUUAAAAUGGCCCUAAUUGUUCUGGAAAAGGACAGUUUUCAGAGAACACCAAAAGCACAUGAUAAUAAUGACACACACUUUGUUCAAAAUGCAUCACAUUUUAGUCUUGGAGCAGACACAAUAUUAUUUGUCCACAGAAUACCGUGUCAAGGAAGAAGGUCAGCAUCCGCUCCCAGUUGUACUAUUGUACAGUUGUACACAGAUAUGACUGGUGGUGCUCAUAAGAUUUCAGUGGACUUGCUUUUCAUUACUUAGUCUUUUCUUCAGGCUUCUUGCUUUGCUGUAAUAGGUCAGAGCGUGGUCUGUGAAGUGUCUAGCAAAGACAGUCUGUCAGCUUGAUGCCAUUUGCAAGUGUUUCAUCAGUUCUGUUAUUUUUACUGUAUAUGAAGUUGUAGACAGUCUUAAAUCUAUUGAUCUUUGCUUCUUAGUUCAAUGCUCCCAUUAUUCUUUUCUAGUGUAGACCUUAAACCAUGCUAAUUUGUUCCCAGGAACCAUAAGAGUUUAAAAAACAACAAACCCACAACAAAGUACUUUAAUGAAUAUCCAAAAGAGCAAUAAACUCUGCAAACAAGUAUUGAGUUCACAAUAACAUGAUGAUUAAGACAACGUUUGAGUGAUCUGUUCAGCUUGUAGCUAAGCUUUGUCAUGGAAGACCACUGAAAUCAUUACCACUGGGCAACAACUAGAUUGAAAGAAGUUCUAGUAUGAAUUAAAAGCUUUCUGUCACUCUUGGUGGAAAAAUACCAAACUCAAGUAAAUUUCAAUAAUCCUAAGUUUUUCUCAAAGUAUCAGCGUAUCACUGAGUAAAAGAUUGCUUACCAGCAUGUUCCUCAGGGAGAGGAAAGUAAUACAGAAUGAGUGCUUCAUGACACAUUGGCACUUUUGCAUGCAUUCCCAAGUGGUACUUGGCACUACUGCUCUUUUUUUUUCUUUUUUUGGGGUACGUUUCAUCUGAAAAAAAGCUCUUUUCAAUAUGCAAAACACUAAAGGGAGAGAAUGUGUAGAAAAUGAUCAUUUCUAUGUAUUAUAUUCUGGACAGUCAAAGGCAUUUUUCUAACUGUAGAAAUUCUGUUAGACAGCUCCUUAAAGUUCAUGAUAAUCUCCUCGGUUUUAUUAACUUUUCUCCUUUGCAUCAUGGGUUCAUUCUCGGUGUGUUCAUCUCCUACUGAAACUGGAGGAGUUAGGUCAGUGUUGGCUUUUUUUUUAAUUUAAUUCCAUUCUAAGCUUUAACAGCCUUUUGGUAAUGCACUGUAAUGCAGUGAGUUAUACUAGAUGAAAGAGUGACGAGAGAGUAAGCUCACCACCUACUUAAAAAGGGCCUUUUGCUUUUAAGAUGAUAACAGUAAACUUGGUUUUCAUUUGUGUGUGCCUGCUGGAUAGACUUCAGUGGCAACACAACAACCUGCAGAAAGGGCUUUCCUCUUCUCUGAUCUCCCUUUGGCCUAGAAAUUGAGUGGAGCUUUAGUGGAAGAAAAACAUAUUGUAUGUGAUUAAUUAGAGAAUUCUUCUCCUAGUGCAGACUGGUUGUAUUACUGUCAGACAGAUGAAGCAUCCAGAACUGUCACAGCUUUGUAACAGGAACGUGUUUCCUCUACUCCGCAAGUAGGUGAGUGGUACUGCUGGUACAGACACUACAUUCUCCUGUGGGAGAUUCAUAACCUCUGCCAUGAGUCACGGAGCUAACAGUGGGGCUUUCUUGUACCAGGAUACUUUUAGACUGUUUAUCAAACUACUUCAGUUACCAAUUUCCAAGCCAGAGCUCAAUGCUAUAAUUUUUUUAAUUUAUAGAGAGGUUGACAUUGUUUUAUUUCUGAGAGUGCUCAGUUCAGACUUAUUUUAGAAAAGUACAAGAACUCUGCUAGCUAGGCUGUGUCACUCACCCAGUUGCACCAGGAAAAGGCAGGCUGAACUAAUGAAGCUUCUCUAGGCAUAGCAUGUUCUGUGAAAGCCUUUCUGCUCAAUCCAGAUGCACAGGCACUUCGUAUCUUGAAACAUUUAUUUCUAUUUGUGUUGGACUGGUUGGAGUGUCCAAGCAUUACUUUUUCUCAAACAGUUUCAUGUUUAUGUGUUACUGUUAACAUUUGAAUAAGCACAAAGCCAAAAAGCAUUUUGUCCCACAGAACUCAGAUGAAGUUUAUGCCAACUAAAGAAGCAUUUUUUAAAAAAAAUGAAUGGAAUCAGCUGCACGUAGCUCCUUUGGGCUUCUCAGUACCACUCGUGGAGCAAUUUCUCCCAAAGAUGAUUAGAAAUGAGGUAUCAGACAUACACCAUUGACUGUGCAGAGAAGUAGACUAUUCUGCAAGUCAGCUGCUAUUUGGCAAAUCAUACCUGCACGUUCUUGACAUGCAACAGAGCAGAGGUACCUGAAUAGUGUUCUGUUCAGGGAAGAUGACUUUGGUGUAAAAUGCUGACCAACUUGUUAUCCCGUAUUUGUAUGUAUGUGCCAUUGCUUAUCACACUUUACCUGAUAAAUCCUAUCUGUCCAUUCCAGAGAAAUUCCAGGGUUACAUGCUUGACCAGUUUCUGGUUUGGAUAACUCACUAAAGUCAGAGAUACUUAUAUAUGCCAUCUGAUUCAGGAACAAUGAGAACAGAUGUAUUGUCUUUCUCACAGGAUUCUCUACUUUUCUGAUGGUAGAGGAAAUACCGUAGCUACAGCCUUUCUCAGGCUUUUAUGAUGUCUGGUUUUGGAUGAGAAGGACAUUGUCACACGUACUUUAUUAAUGAUUUGGAAUCUUCAGCUGGUUUUCUACAUAACUUUUCUUUAAGAACAUUUUCAUAUUAGCUGGUUUAUUUAUUUAUUUAUUCUUAAUCUUAUGGAAGCAAGAAAAUCACAGCAGAGUGCCCCUUUACUAAUCUUUUUUUAUAUUUGCUUCUCUGAAGAUAAGCAGCAUGGCUGUAGGAUUAUAUAUGCUGUACAUAUACACUCAUACUGUUUCCAUGCAGGUGAGUUAGGAAACACUUUUUUCAACUGCCAUAAGUUUGUCUGAAGCAAAUGAAUACAACCUCCUUUCAGUUUCAGGAGUUGUAGAGAGAAUCUGAAUUUCUGCAUCUGCAUCUCCUACACGUGCAAAUAUUCAUACUUUGCUCAGUGCUGAGAAGGUCCAACUUCAGGCAUCUCACUUCUAGAAAGAUGCACACUAAUUGCAGAGGAUUCAGAACACAGCAAGAGGAAUGAUCAGAGGUCUGUGGCUUCUGACCUCCAAGGAAGUAGGAGAGUUUGGGCUUUUUGGUUGAAAGAGAAUAUUUAGGGGGAACAUUAACUAACAGUCUUCACAAGCACGUAAAAGGGCAUUGCAGAGAGGAAGAGGCAAACAAAUAAAUCGAAUCAAAAUUUGGAGCAACAAAUAGCAAAGUUUGCUAUCUUUUUUUUAUUAUUAUUUGAAGAAGGAUCUCAACUAGUCUGCUUAUUUACAUUGGAACACGUGUGCAGCCAACUCUAAAGACUUCUGUGUUGCACUGGGAGUUAUCCAGACAGUGUGUGAAUCAGUAUCAAGCACUUGAAAUGAUGGAUCACACGCUCUGAAUAGCAAGUACUUGAAGCCCUUAUUAACUGCAAAAAAAACUUGUGUGCAGUCCAUAAAGUGGAGUAUGGUCACGUAAAAAAUAGUUAAGUAAUUCUGAAUGUUCAACGUCUGUUCAGUGAUUUUGAAUAAUUCUGAAUGCUUGAAGUCUGUUCAGUGAUUGAUUCUGACCUUAAACAGGCUAAGUUAUUCCUAUAUGCUGUCCAGCCGCAUUCAAUAUUUAUUUUCACUUCUGAAUCAUUCAGUAUUUAUUUUCACUUCUGAAUCAUUCAGGAUUACUGUUUCCAGGUUUUCCCCUGUACUCAAUCCUUAUGUUUCAGAUUAUUUCCUCUACUAGUACAAGCUUGCAUUAAUCUUUUUUAAACACAAACGGUUAUUUUGUGCUGAUGUUUCCAGUCUCCAUGUCUACGUAUUUGUCACUCCUUGUUCAUGGAGUUGUUAAUGAAGAGUUUGAACAAGUGUUGCUUGGAAAAAGAAAAUGUAAGAUCUUUCCCAAAUUAUAUCUUAACGUAUUUCAAAAACACUGACGUGAUCUUUCAGCGUCAGCUAAGUCCCAGAUAACUGGGAAACAAACAGAGUAUUGGUGCAAUUUUAAAAUAACUCUUUCCUACCUGUCAGCCUCCUUCUUCUUCCUGGAACAACUUCAAUAGACAUAACCCACCCCAACCUUCCAAAAUCUGAUCAAUAUCUACAAAAAAUGUCUAGAGGUCUAGAUAAUAAAUUUUAUUCUGUUGAUAUUAUAUUGCUGCUUUUAAUUAGAGAAAAAAACCUGCCUAGUGUACGAGUCCCGUGUCUUUAUAUUUUGUGUGAUGACUUUCAAUAGAUAAGGGGAAUACUGUGAAGCUAGGGCUAUCACACGUGACACUUAGGAUUGUGAAGAGUCCGAGUGUAAAGUGGAAAUUCAGCAUCAAUAUCAGAAGACAGUAAGCAAUUAAAAAAUAAAAACAAAAGUCACUGCAUUUGUCUCUGAAAUACAUCCAGUACUUUGUCAUUUUGUAAAUGAUAAGCUGCUGCAGCUACAGUUACUGUAUGUGUGUGUGUGACUGCUUGUAGAGAUCUCUUAGCAGUUCAGUGCAAGUUAAACCAUUUUUCUUUUCAGUUGAAAAAUUCAGUGGUUUCUCUGUUUCAAAUAUUAGCCAGGGGAACAUCUUUUUUAAAAAGUAGAAGAUGUUGCAUGUUUAUUUAUUUCAUUAAUUUAGACAUGAACCUGAGGUAUACAUCCCAAUCUAAAUCUAGGGUAUAUUAAAGUGUAUUUUAAUUUUCAGUUGUAUCUGAAAUUAAAUUUUCUGUUGACUCAACUGAUUCUCUGCCAUUUUACUAAGGGGAGGUGGUAGCCACUCACAAGCAAACGGGUAGCAAAUGAAAUUAACACAAAUACCAUUAAAUAAACAACAGAGAGUCACUGAGCAGAGAGAUUUGAGCAAUGCGUGGUUUCUCUUAUCUCCCUAUGAUGAUGGUACACUGCAGGAGUUCAGCAGAGUUCCCAUGGGCUAACAAAGGUGCACAGAGUGUACAGGGGUUUUAUGGCUGGUUCUGUGGGACUGUCUGUGCUGCAGCACUCAAAACAUGACUGUAAGGGAGUGAAGGGAGCCAAAGGAAGAAUAGUGCAUGCUGUAGGCUUUUUAGGACUAGCAAUGGGAAAGAACAAACCUAGCUUAUCAAUGAACAUGCAAUGGAGACCAUAACUGAAAGUCACUGAUUUACAUCAAAGGCUACAAGGGCUGUUUAUGUCUUUAAUAGAAACAGUUCUUCACAGACUGGAUGAAAUGUUCAUUCGAAAUAAAAGGAUAAGAAGUUGAGAAAUACGGCAACACAGAAAAAUGGAAGUGGAAUCUGUUGUUAAGAGAGAACAGAAGAAAUACUGGGAGAAGUGUUGGUAAUUCCAAUGGUCCACUCAUCCAUUUGUUUUAUCUCAGUCUCUUCUUCUUUCCUUCCCUCCUUUCCUCUUCCCCUCUGCCAUUUUUGCUCUCACUUGCUCUUUCAUAUGAGCUACGAAGAUGUCUGGCCAUGUAAAUAUAUCUGAGAAUACAAAAAAAGUCCCAUUAUGACACAAACCACUUUGAAGUAUUUGAAGAAUGGUCUCUCACCAGUGGCUGAUGUGAACGUUCAAAGGUUUGUUUUAUUGUUCUUUCACAUUGUGUUUGAAUUAUUGUUUGGAUAACCAUGGACUACAACCUAAACUAACUUACUAUGACAUCUGAAAUUGUGGUUAAGUGGGGAAAAAGAUGAAAAAAAAAAUCUCUCUAGAAGUUCCCUUUGUGUAGAUGUGGGCCAGAUCUUGUAUGUGCACAGGUAUGCGAAGGAGCUCAAAUUGUCCUGAAGACCAACCAGUUAUCCUACUGGACAACCUGUUCUGCCUGUCAGUGAGCAGAACAUCUGGCAUCAUGGGGCUUUUUUACUUUUUGUUGGGGAAUCAAACGCUUGCUCAUCAGAAUCUGUUGAUCUCCGUUUAAUUUCAAAAAGUAAAUUAGCCAAUAAAAGUUUUUGCCUUCCUGUUUUCAGAUGAUCCCAAAUACUGCUAUUAAAACUCCGCUAUCUUCCUGCAGCUUGCUUUCAUAAAUCUCAUACACUUUCCUGUGCUGUGCACAGUCUUCCUACCUAAUUACCCUUUCUAAAACUUCUCAAAACCCAAGCUCUAUUUGCACUUGUCAUAAACUGACAUCUAAUUCUGCAGUGCUACCUGUUGCUUGGGGUCCCACUUAUUUGCCUAGGUAAAAAUUAAAGCUGUAAGAAAUCAUUUGUACUGUUGAGAGCAGACCUCAAUUUACCCCAGAGAGCUUCUAGCACAUCAUACAUACUUCUGAAACAGAUCUUGUUUUUUUCUAAAUGCUUUUAACCUUUCAUGCUUACUAUCAGAGCCACCUAAAGCAUUUGAAUUUGAACAACUAUGCCUCGUAGUUCUACUGUAGGACAGAUGAUGCAGAGCAGACACAGUUCUCCUGUGAUGGUCCUGAUUUUAUAGGUCUCUACUAUACCCUCUCUUUUCUAGAUGAAAUCUAUGGGCCUCACUCAAUGCCCACUGCUGUCUAGGUGAAGUCUCUUGGUCUGCAAACCAAAAGGCAAAGUGCCCAAUAGUAUCCACAAUUACCACCUUGUGAAAUGGCCUGUGUCAUCUGUUCUGACUUAAAACCCAAAGUUCCUGCUUAUACACAGCAAUGUGUAACGAAGCCUGACUUAAGGUAGGUGUAGCGGAAAUGCUAAGUCACAGCUUAAACCAGUGGCUGAGCACCUGGUAGGAAGGCAGGGCCGACUCAGGGGAGCUCAGGUGCAAACAGUGCACUUGAUUGACUGGAGGGGGUGGAGGAAGGAUCCACUCCUUCCCAGAUCUCAUUUAAGGGCUGGCAGUGGAGGUGAGAGUAUCUUUUUGGAGAUUCCUGUAUGUCUGAGGCUUCCUGAAGGUAAGCAGCCUCUUAUUUCUGUGGCUGUUGUAUUUUAGUAAAUCCUCCAUCCCUGCAGCCAGGGAUCUUGCUGUUCUGCUGUAAUUGCAGUGCUUUCCACUGUGUUACACUUGGUGAGCCAGCCAGGAGAACCAUUGUGUACUGGCCUAUGAAGGAGUGUAGACUUCAACCAUGAAUCAAUCAUCCACUGUCUCACAUUUUGUCAGUCACAUGAUUUGCCCAUUGCAAUGUUGUGGUGUACUGGAUCAUCAUCUUAGAAAGGGCUUACCUUUAACCUGCUCAGUCAGUAGUUCAUGCUGUAAAGUGGUGGAGUGUAGUGGAAAUGCUGAGUCAUGGCUUGAAGCAGUGAUUGAGCACCUGGUAGGAAGAUAUGGCCAACCCAGGGGAGCUCAGGUGUAAGCAGUGCACCUGAUUGACUGGAAGGGAUGGAGCAGGAUCCACCCCUUCCUAGACCUUAUUUAAGGGUUGGUAGUGGAGGCAAGGGUGUCCCUCUGGGUAUUCCUGUGUAUGUGAGGCCUUCUAAAGGUAAGCAGUUUCUUUCCUAUACUGUUGUGCUUAUGGCUGUUGUCUGAGCAAAUCUUGUCUUCCUGUAGUCUGGGAUCUUGCUGCUUUGCUGUCAUAUUGCACUUUCUGUUGUAUUACGGUAGGAUACCAGCUGACAAAGCAAGCACUGAGUUGAUUAAUUUCUCCAAAUCUUGAUUUGUAUGUUCCUGAAAGGGCUUGUAGAGUAAAAAACUAAGUGCAGGACUGGCGUUUCUGACCAUCAGGCAGGCAGAGAGAAGAGUACACUGGGAAGUUUAUUAUAAAAAUAAGUAUACACAAAAAUACACCCAUAUGAGCACAUAGUGUAAGUAAAGCCUUGGCAAGGGUCUUAAAAAUGUGUUUAAGGAAUGGUUACAGUAAGGAAAAUAUUGCUGCAAGUACAGUUAAGUCAAUGAGUAUUUGUGAGAGUGAAAACCACAUGGGCUUCUGUCUGUUUUGGGCAUUUGUGGAGUUCCUAUCACAGCUGUAGUGCAGUUCCACCUAGAUAUGGAUGCUUGCUGUUGAGUCUGAACCACAAAAUUGAGCAUGUAAGGGAAUGGUAUUCAGGGGCAAAAUAAUAUUGUUAGUAUGGGACACUGAUGUAAUAUGAUGGCACACUUACAAAAUAAACAGUGCUUUAUGCUUUUGAGUGUACCCUGCCUUCUUGCUUGUCCUUGCUGCGGACAAAACCACAUGUCCCAGUUGCUGUGGGACUGGGGAUAGUGGGGCAGCUGUUCCCUGCCCUUAUUUCCCAUUUGUGUUGGCUUUCUCAGUUUGGCACCUAUUGGUACCCUUUGCUGUAAGAAGUGUAGGCCUUGAACUAGAGAACCACUUCCAGGGAAUUGGAAAUGGUCUUUAUCUGUUUGCCAUGUAUAAGAAAAAGGCUACAAAGAAUAGGAAGUUCAUAUGUCUGCAUCUGUUCUGUACCUUCAGCUUCCUUGUCUGCACUGUAAAUUCUUCUUGACUUCCACAUUAUGAUGUGGAACACACUCUUGCUUCUAUGUAUAGCUCUCCGAGCCUGAUUCCCUUCUAUGUGAUGGGCUCAUUUUCCUAGCCCCAGUACAACAAAUGGCUAGAGGGAAAAUACCAUUUUAUUUUUGUCUGAAUGCCAGAAGAAUCACCAAAAGGAAGUCUUGAGAUUACUGUUCUUGCAGAAAGACUUGCUAGUUGCUCUGUCUUUUGGUCAAGAAAUAGGAAAAAUUCUGCCUUUUUUUUUGUGUUGGUCUAAAAGCCUACAAAGGAAGGACUUCCAGGCAAUGUUUAUAAAACACUAGAGAGGACUGAGUGACACCUUUAGAUGAUUCAUGAAAUCUGUUGCCUUUAACAAGGUGAAUUUGAAUGACACUUCUGUGACUGUAACCGGGGCUCAGUGCUUUGCGUGCUGGGGUAGUGAUGUGCUGUAAUACCUGUGCGUUCCAUCCAUGUGAAUUUCUUAAGGGUGGCUUGGUCAGAUUGUGGAACUUCCUUCUUGUCAUACAGAAUUGCAAUGUAGUGAUGGAUGUGGAAGAGAUCUGUUUCUCUGGGCGACUUCUGUCUUGAUAGCUGGAUGUUAGCGAAUGCAGGCUGCUUCUGUGUGUGAUAAACCUCCUGUACAUGAACAGAUCUGUAAUGUUACUAUCCAAUUAUAUAUACAGGAGUGACAUGAUAGAUGCAAAGCUGCUUGUGAUGGGUAAGUUACAGUCUGGAUUGUUUGACAGUUAUCUUCAAAAGUUGUGCCUCCUCUCACAAGAGAAAAUUCUGUGAUUCUUAGAUAAUAAAAAAGGUCAUUAUUGGAGUUUAUCUGCCAACUCAGAUUUUGAAGGCAUGCCUAUAUGUAAGAAAAGGGAGAAGGAACGCAAUUUUUUUCUGAAGUGACAAGUGACAACACCUCCUUUUUUUUUUUAGUCCAGUUUCCCAGGGAUGUCUUGUCCAAAUGGCCUCACACUUUCCCGAAAUAUUUUCCUCUGGCUACAGACCAAACACAAGAACUGUAGGCAAAAAAUAUUUCUUUUAAAGAGAGACUGAAAGGGUAUCUGAGUGGAGGAAAAGAUUUUUCAAGCAUAUUGUGAUAUGUAUUGAAUGAUAGAUAAUAUUGUUUAUUUAGCUCCUAGGGCUGAAAAUUGUGAUUA